CCCAUUCCGAACACGGCAGUUAAGCUUCUCAGUGCCGAUGAUACUUGGACGGAGAUGUCCUGGGAAAGUAGGUCGCUGCCAGGU
rnacentral:rRNA from 1 species